GAGAAAAAAUUAUAAAUGCUGAAUGUGUCUCAUCUUAAAUACAUUGUUGUUGUUUUUGUUUCAUUGAUUUUGGAUGUUUUGAUGAUUUAAGGAAAAUUUACGUAGCAUAUAUAUUGAUGUUUUAAAUCAGAGUUUGUUAAUGACACUUAAUCAUUAACAAACAUUUAAAAAGCUUUAUUACAAUACUAAUUGAUAAUAUAUAUGUAAUAAUCUUGUUUUGUAACACCCUAAAUCACUGAGCGCACAAACGCUACCCCUGUUACAAGCAUGAGUGAUUGACUUCAGGCACACAUGCGCAGACAUUGAAGUACCGCGAGAGUGAUUCAAAAGCCCACGAAACAGUGUAAUCACGCGGUACUGUGAUGUCAUACUGGUUAAGGCUAAGCCACGUGAAGCCGGACACAAGGGCUUUGGGCUGGAGUAGCCUGUGGCUUUUAAGGCUUCGUGUCUCAUCGCAGAACGAUUUAUUUCUCUUUUUCACCUCGAUCUUUGGCCUCGUGUGAUUUACCAAAACCAACAUGUGAAGUUACAACGCUGACGAAGGAGUUUCAUCAGUAGAGUGUGUCCUGGAAAACGUGUGCUCGGAAACAUGCAGAAUACAGGAUUUACAGAGCCGACCUUGAGGCACCCACUGAUGGAUAAUCUGUUUACCUAAAAACAGCCCACCACAAUCCAUGUUUACCAGCUGUGAAAGUGCAGGCCAAAAAUCUUCCUUCACCUGUGGGCCUCUACCCACAUGUAGAUAAGCACUUCAGGAGAAACCUGCCUGUGAUCUGCUAAGAUGCACAGAUUCAACUCUGGCCCAUUGUCAUCCCAACACCUCAUCUGCCAUCAGUUUCGUUUAGUGUCGGUCUAUUGCAAAAGUUCUUAUAAACUUUAAAUGAGACUUUGUGUUAAGCAGGGGUUUCCAAACUUUUCAUUCCACAACAUAUUAAGCCCAGGAUACACAGCAGGAUUUUUGCAAUCCAAUAAGACCUUAUCACACUGUGUGACAAGGAUUGUUUAAACUUCAGCAGUAGACUGUCGAUGAAGACACCUAUUGCAUCUGAAGCUGCGACAUCUGUCAUCAACAUGCGCUAGUGGUAAACAAAUACAGGUAUGCAGGUCGUAGAAGCAAACACAUUGUUGAUGUGCGUUGAUCAUGCUGAACUUCUUACACUGUCAUAAAACUAUCGUAGGUGUCUUUGGUCCCAGGACUGGGAAAACAGACGUCUUUAAACCUCUCACACUGUAUGAGAUAGGACCACCAAUUAAGAGCCACGAUCACAGAAAUCUCCACAAUUGUUUCACGAUUGGUAAUCUUUCAACUUUUU